GAUCAGUCCUGUGGUGCAAGGCAAGUUCCAGCAGGGCAUCAUGAACGGCAUGCAGAACCGUGACAUUGGCAACAGUACAAGUGUCCCUGUGUCUGGCUCCAGCUUCAAUGGCACUUCCUUCCUCAGUGGUAACUCCGUAAAUGCACCACCAGCUCCAGAGGUUCCAAGUUACUCUAUUACAGGCAUCGGAGGAGAUGCGACCUUUUAAGUGCUGGCAUACAACGCCAGGAGGG
rnacentral:misc_RNA from 1 species